CGAUGUUGAGUUAGUCUGGACACCCAGCAACACUUCGCUGACUAGCCAGUCACUCUCUCUAACCUAGCUCGAACCCGGAAUCCGAAAUCAUUCCAAACAAACUGCAAACCUGACCUCUUUCCCCGCACUCUGCCCUGCCUGCCCAAACUUUGCCUGCUCUGCGGAUUACCGACUCCGCGAGAACUCCCUCAUGUGUCCUCCUCCUCCAAGGCAGGAGUAAUCCCUGCUGGCAGCUGCUCCCUUUUCAGUUACCGUUACAUAAAUUUAUGGAAGGAAAGUGAGAUGCCAAAUUUAGAUAAGGCAGAGAUGCUGCUCUCGUGGAGUUUAUCAUCUUUCAAGGGAUACUUUGCAGGAGGAAAUAACCACAGUCAUAAGGGGGCUGGUCCAAGCCCCUAUUCCCCAUGAUGCCUAGUGGAAACAGCUAUCAAAAAAAGGCCCUGUGAAUUCGGGAAAAGUCUUUCAUGAAACAGACACAGCAGGUCUUACUAUCAAAACACUGACCUUGGGAGAAUGGGAAAUAAAUUGACAGGUUUACUGAAGAUAUAUACUAUCUUGAAAGGGAAGCAGUUAUUGUCAUGCAGCUAGAAGAGAUGAUUCACCUGCUGAUGCUUCCUUUCCCUGAGAUGGCAGUCAAUAAAGUCUAGUGGGAGCAAAG